CUCAAUUCAAGAUCUCCAUAGCUACUAGUACCCAGUACUAAGAGGAAUCUAGUAUAAACACAUAGAACAAUAACAAACAAUGGGAUUUUGUAUAAACAAAAGCUCAGAAACAGAUUAAUCAUUAAAAUACAAGAUAAACAACAGAGAAAAGUUAGAAAUAAAACCUCAGCCACUUUUAUUCAUGAAACUCGAAUUUAAAAGAAAGUUUAAGAUGAACAUGCCAAAAACUCUGAAUGAAUCUUGAAAGCAAAAUCGACCAAAAUGAACUAGAAACUUAGCCGACAACCUCUGAUCGGAGCCGGAACUGUUAAACGGAAACCUCACCGGCGACUUCGACAGUAGCUGUGUUUGUGACUGCUUUUAGUAACGGUUUUGGCUUGUUUCGACUGACUCCAGGCGGGAUGUGGUGUGCAAAUUUCAGCUAAUUUUUUUAAGGAAGUAGGAGUGUCGAUUUAUGGCUUAAAGGGAGGAGCUAGGUGGCUUUGGGCUGAGAUUUUUUUAGGUUAGAUUUGCUGGGUGAUUUUCAGCUAUUUAUGAAGGAAGAUGGAGGUGGAAUCUUGGUCAUAGGGUGGUUCGGCUAUUUUCAUUUUUGGAUUAAAAUUCAAGGGGUCUCCUCCAUGGUCCAAACGGCUGACCAAAUUCCGAAGAAGAACGGCCUGCUUAGGUGUCUAACCUUAGAGACUUAGGUCUUUCAUUUUUUUGGUGUUUCU
rnacentral:lncRNA from 1 species